AUGGAUUUUUUGAUAAAAUACCAUUGUUGCUUUGGCAGGUCGUGGCCUCGGCCCGCAGCGCCUGCCAGAGGACCCAAACUCUUUUGUUAUGUGGCGUCUGAGUACUAUAUAAUAGUUA
rnacentral:misc_RNA from 1 species